rnacentral:tRNA from 1 species
UGCGGGGUAGUGUAAAGGUAGCACGAUUGGCUCUGAACCAAUAAAUCUAGGUUCGAAUCCUAGCCCCGCAG